rnacentral:rRNA from 1 species
UGGUAGUNCACGCCGUAAACGCUGAGUGCUAGGUGUUAGGUCCUUUCCGGGACUUAGUGCCGACGCUAACGCAUUAAGCACUCCGCCUGGGGAGUACGACCGCAAGGUUGAAACUCAAAGGAAUUGACGGGGGCCCGCACAAGCGGUGGAGCAUGUGGUUUAAUUCGAAGCAACGCGAAGAACCUUACCAGGUCUUGACAUCCCGAUGCCCGCUCUAGAGAUAGAGUUUUACUUUUUGUACAUCGGAGACAGGUGGUGCAUGGUUGUCGUCAGCUCGUGUCGUGAGAUGUUGGGUUAAGUCCCGCAACGAGCGCAACCCUUAUUGUUAGUUGCCAUCAUUAAGUUGGGCACUCUAGCGAGACUGCCGGUAAUAAACCGGAGGAAGGUGGGGAUGACGUCAAAUCAUCAUGCCCCUUAUGACCUGGGCUACACACGUGCUACAAUGGUUGGUACAACGAGUCGCAAGCCGGUGACGGCAAGCUAAUCUCUGAAAGCCAAUCUCAGUUCGGAUUGUAGGCUGCAACUCGCCUACAUGAAGUCGGAAUCGCUAGUAAUCGCGGAUCAGCACGCCGCGGUGAAUACGUUCCCGGGCCUUGUACACACCGCCCGUCACACCACGAGAGUUUGUAACACCCAAAGUCGGUGAGGUAACCAUUUAUGGG